CCUACGUGAGGCAGCAGUGAGGAAUAUUGGUCAAUGGGCGCGAGCCUGAACCAGCCAAGUAGCGUGAAUGAUGACUGCCCUACGGGUUGUAAACUUCUUUUAUAAAGGAAUAAAGUGAGGCACGUGUGCCUUUUUGUAUGUACUUUAUGAAUAAGGCUCGGCUAACUCCGUGCCAGCAGCCGCGGUAAUACGGAGGAACCGAGCGUUAUCCGGAUUUAUUGGGGUUAAAGGGAGCGUAGAUGGGUUGUUAAGUCAGUUGUGAAAGUUUGCGGCUCAACCGUAAAAUUGCAGUUGAUACUGGCAGUCUUGAGUACAGUUGAGGUAGGCGGAAUUCGUGGUGUAGCGGUGAAAUGCUUAGAUAUCACGAAGAACUCCGAUUGCGAAGGCAGCUUACUAAACUGCCACUGACAUUGAUGCUCGAAAGUGUGGGUAUCAAACAGGAUUAGAUACCCGUGUAGUC
rnacentral:rRNA from 1 species